UUACGGCCAUAUCACGUUGAAACACCAGUUCUCGUACGAUCUUCGAAGUUAAAGCAAGGUUGAGCUUGGACAGUGCCUAUAUGGGUGACCGUUUUGGGAAUAGCAGCUACUGUA